rnacentral:lncRNA from 1 species
GAAAGCGUUGAGCAACUCAGCAAAGCGACGACCUGGGCUGAUGAGGCAGGAUUGGGAGCGCGUGAAGGCAGUGCCCAGCAGGCACAGCCAGCGCUCGUGCCGCGCCAUCCGCCAGCUGCCUGGCUUAUCCACAACCAGGGAAGCAGCGGGGCAUCCUCAAGCUGCCCUGUGUGGGGUGCUGUCUGUGAAACAGCAGCAGCAAACCCAGAAGCCGAGGUUAGACACUCAGCAUGCGAGGAAAGCACGCAGAGGCGGAGGCCGCGGCGCUCAGAAACUGCCGUAUUUAGAGAUCACGCGGAGCCAUAGGACAGUGCAGCCAUGAGCACCACUGCAUCGUCCUUGGCGACGAGCCAGGCCCGGGGGUCCUCCUGGGCUGCAUCUCCUGCCGGGCACCAGCUUCCUCCGCCCCUUCGGCACUCGCCAGCCAAGCUGCAAGGGGCACACUGAGGAGCAGACAGGCAGCGCUUCCAUGUCGGCGCCAUGCCCAGCACCCUGACGGAACACGUGACCGAGGACACAGGUGCAGGGGGAGGCAGGGGACUAAGACCCUGAGCAAGUCAUGAGCAGGCAGCACCCUAAGACGCUGUCCCAGGACAGCCAGGAGUACCCACGUAUCAAGGGCGGGAGCAGGUGGAGGUGCCUGGAUCAUGGGGUGGCUCCCCCAUGCUGUUCUUGCAAUACUGCGUGAGUCUCAUGAGAUCUGAUGGUUUCAUCAACGUCUGGUACUUCCCCUGCUUGCACUCACUCCGUCCCGCCGCCCUGGGACCUGCUUCUCCUUUGCCUUCCACCAUGACUAAGUUUCCUGAGGCCUCCUCAGCCAUGCUCAACUGUGAGUCAAUUAAACCUCUUUCUUGUAUAAAUUACCCAGUCUUGGGCAGUUCUUUAUAGCAGCGUGGGAACGGACUAAUACGCCGAGGAAGGGCGUGAGUGAU